GGGAAUAUUGCACAAUGGGGGGAACCCUGAUGCAGCGACGCCGCGUGAGUGAAGAAGUAUUUCGGUAUGUAAAGCUCUAUCAGCAGGAAAGAAAAUGACGGUACCUGACUAAGAAGCCCCGGCUAACUACGUGCCAGCAGCCGCGGUAAUACGUAGGGGGCAAGCGUUAUCCGGAUUUACUGGGUGUAAAGGGAGCGUAGACGGCAGUGCAAGUCCGGAGUGAAAGCCCGGGGCUCAACCCUGGGACUGCUCUGGAAACUGUAAAGCUGGAGUGCGGGAGGGGCAGGCGGAAUUCCUGGUGUAGCGGUGAAAUGCGUAGAUAUCAGGAGGAACACCGGCGGCGAAGGCGGCCUGCUGGACCGUAACUGACGUUGAGGCUCGAAAGCGUGGGGAGCAAACAGGA
rnacentral:rRNA from 1 species